AGACCGUCAGCUAAGGCCCCAAAGGCUAUGCUAAGUGUGGCAAGGAUGUGGAAAUGCCCGGACAGCCAGGAGGUUGGCUUAGAAGCAGCCACCCUUUAAAGAGUGCGUAACAGCUCACUGGUCGAGGAUUUCCGCGCCGAAAAUACAGGGGGCUAAGCAUAGCGCCGAAGCUGCGGGAUACGUAAUUUAGGUUACGGAUCGGUAGGGGAGCGUUCCAUGAGGGGAGAAGUCGUACUGGGAGGUACGGUGGACAUCAUGGAAGUGAGAAUGCCGGCAUGAGUAGCGCAAAGUAUGUGAGAAACAUACUCACCGGAAGCCCAAGGGUUCCUGGGGAAGGUUAAUCCACCCAGGGUAAGGCGGGACCUAAGGCGAGGCCGAAAGGCGUAGUCGAUGGACAGCAGGUUGAUAUUCCUGUCCCGCGGAGCGGCCGUUAACACCGAAGGGGUGACGCAGGAAGCUAGGUGGAUCCGGGUGAUGGAAGUCCCGGACCAAGGGUGUAGGCAUGCUUUGCAGGGAAAUCCGCAGAGCUAAGCCGAGACCUGACGGGGAUCUCCCGUAAUAGGAGAGAAGCCAUUGACGCUCCACUGCCGAGAAAAGCCUCUAGGGAGGACGUUUUGCGCCCGUACCCGAAACCGACACAGGUGGGCUGGCUGAACAGGCUAAGGUGAGCGGGAUAACUCUCGUUAAGGAACUCUGCAAGUUGACCCCGUAACUUCGGGAGAAGGGGUGCCUCUCUGGUGAAGACAAUGCUGUCGGAGCUGAGGGAGGUCGCAGAAACCAGGCUCAGGCGACUGUUUACUAAAAACACAGGUCUCUGCAUAAGGCGUAAGCCGAAGUAUAGGGACUGACACCUGCCCGGUGCUGGAAGGUUAAAUGGAGAGGUAGCCGCAAGGCGAAGCUUUGAGAUGAAGCCCCAGUAAACGGCGGCUGUAACAAUAACGGUCCUAAGGUAGCGAAACUCCUUGUCGGGUAAGUUCCGACCUGCACGAAUGGUGUAACGAUCUGAGCGCUGUCUCAACGGGAGACCCGGUGAAAUUGUGGUCCUGGUAAAGACACCAGGUACCUGUGGUGGGACGGAAAGACCCCAUGGAGCUUUACUGUAGCCUGGUACUGGAUUUUGUCCUAUCAUGCACAGGAUAGGUGGGAGGCAUUGAAGGAUGUGCUUUGGCAUAUCUGGAGCCGCUGUUGGGAUACCACCCUGAUAUGACGGAAUUCUAACCCCGAACGUCUGAAACGGCGCGGGGGACCCUGCCAGGUGGGCAGUUUGACUGGGGCGGUCGCCUCCCAAAGAGUUACGGAGGCGCGCGAUGGUCACCUCAGGGCGAAUGGAAAUCGCCCUUCAGAGAGCGUAAGCGUAUAAGGUGGCCUGACUGAAAGACCGACGGGUCGAUCAGGGACG
rnacentral:rRNA from 1 species